rnacentral:hammerhead_ribozyme from 1 species
AUCCAGCUGACAAGUUUGAAAUAGGACGAAACACGAGUUCUGGAU